CGCUCCUCGCAGUAGAGCGCGUCAUUCGCAUUGACGAGGUCAGCGGUUCGACUCCGCUAGGGUCCA
rnacentral:tRNA from 1 species